GAACAGGGGUGCUGUUCGCAAGAACGGCUGAGAACAUACUCUAAAAACCUGAUCCGGGUAAUGCCGGCGUAGGGAGAAUU
rnacentral:ncRNA from 1 species